UGGGGAAUAUUGGACAAUGGGCGCAAGCCUGAUCCAGCCAUGCCGCGUGAGUGAUGAAGGCCUUAGGGUUGUAAAGCUCUUUCACCGAUGACGAUAAUGACGGUAGUCGGAGAAGAAGCCCCGGCUAACUUCGUGCCAGCAGCCGCGGUAAUACGAAGGGGGCUAGCGUUGUUCGGAUUUACUGGGCGUAAAGCGCACGUAGGCGGAUUUUUAAGUCGGGGGUGAAAUCCUGGAGCUCAACUCCAGAACUGCCUUCGAUACUGGAAAUCUUGAGUCCGGAAGAGGUGAGUGGAACUCCUAGUGUAGAGGUGGAAUUCGUAGAUAUUAGGAAGAACACCAGUGGCGAAGGCGGCUCACUGGUCCGGUACUGACGCUGAGGUGCGAAAGCGUGGGGAGCAAACA
rnacentral:rRNA from 2 species